rnacentral:lncRNA from 1 species
GUAAAAAAAAAUUGCUAUCAUCUUCACCUUCAACAUCCUAUUAUUCAUCCUUCAAAAUCCAGAAACACAACACAACUACCUCCUGAAAUUCCUGAAAUUGAUAGUGUAGUUGUUGAAAAACAAGAAGAGGGUUUGAAUGUGAUUGUGAAAAGAAGUAGAGAGAUAUUGAGGGAAGAAGUGAGAGACAAUAUUACACAAAUUGGGUCAGGAAGGUUCAGAGUUUGGUUAAGGCUUUUGAGAAGUUUUUGUUUGAACCUAAGAAUGAGGGUGAUGAUCGAUAAGAGGAGGAGGAGAAGGAAUCUGAAUCUUGGGUUGGAUCCACAUGCUUCCAUUUCGUCAUCCUGGGAUGUAUCUUGUGGAAGGUUUAAUUUUGCUUAA